ensembl:lncRNA
GCCAAGUCAGAUUCCAUUUUACAGAGUCAUCCUGAAUCCAGCACUCCACAAAAACCUGGUGGCAAGACUACAUCAGAAUCUGAACUUGUAAAUAUGGACGAUGCAGGUGCCAUCAUGCAUGAAUCUAAAGAGAGUUGUACACAAUUCCCCCUCAAUGCUGCAGAUGACAUGGUUUCACCAAAAAUAACUGUGAUGAACAGUGUACCAGAAAUGUAUGAUGCAGACAACAAUAAAACUGGGAACAGUGCACUUAGCAACAUCAGUUCUUUGAAUCUUGAAGAGGAAUUUAUUAAACAGUUAAGUGAUGAAUCUGCAACUGAUGGAAGUAGAACUGAAGACAACACUGAUAACUUUUCUUUACCAGAAAUAUCCUUCAUGAACAUUUCAGACAGCCAUGAUACAGCCAUCACCAGUACUAGUGCAACCAAUGCAACAGUGGGAACAGAAAGCAUUGCAAACAGUCGGACCGAUUCAGAGAACUUUGUCAGAAGCAGCACCUUCGCCAAGUCAGAUUCCAUUUUACAGAGUCAUCCUGAAUCCAGCACUCCACAAAAACCUGGUGGCAAGACUACAUCAGAAUCUGAACUUGUAAAUAUGGACAAUGCAGGUGCCAUCAUGGAUGAAUCUACAGAGAGUUGUACACAAUUCUCCCUCAAACCUGCAGAUGACAUGGUCUCACCAAAAAUAACUGUGAUGAACAGUGUACCAGAAAUGUAUGAUGAAGACAACAAUGAAACGGGGAACAGUGCACUUAGUAACAGCAGUCCUUUGAGCUUUAUAAAGGAAUCUUCUGAACACUCCAGAUGUUCUGGGAAGUCAAGUGAUGAAUUGAUAACUGAUUGUAAAGAGAGCACAAAUUCAUUGGAAGAUUCAGAUAUGGACAAUGGCAUGGAACAUAUUUCUAACACUAUCAACAGAUUUGGUGAUUUUGUGCAUAUUUCAGGGAUUUGUGCUGAUAUGGAGGGGGCAUUAAAAGACUCAGGUCCAGACGAUGGAGCAGCCAACAGCAGAACAAGCACAAGGAAUUCAAUGGGCAGCACAGGUGGCAUUUCAAAUAGUGGAAAAGACAUGUUGAACAAUGAGCCUGAUAACUUUGUCAGAACCAGCACCAUCACCAUCUCAGAGGACAUUUUACAGCAGCAUUGUGAAUCCAGUGGUCAAAAAAAAUCUGAUGACAAUGAAACAGAACCUGGACCCAUCAACAUGAAAACCUGUAACAGUGUGCUGAGCAACAGCAUCUCUUUGGAAGAUAACAAUAAAAAUCAUUCCAUCAACAAUGACUCCAGAUCAGCAUUUGACCAGACACUUUGGGAGCAUCACAUUAUACAGAAUUCAACUUUUCUGGAGGGUGUAUCACAGGUUUCGGCAGGUAAAGCAAGAAUGGUCCUGCACCCAAAAUCACCCACACCUUUCAGAACAACAAAAUUAAUCCACCCCUCAAGCCAGGAACAUCACAGGACUAGUGACCCAGGAAAGUGCUCAGAUUCUGUUGAACAGCAUUCAGAGGAAUCUAUCAUUACUCACCAGCAAGUCAACCUUUGUGAUUACUCACUUACACCUGAAACCAAAUCUUUCAGUACACCAUAUUCAGGAAAAAAGCCACUGUGCUCCAGCAAACACUGUGGUCCUGAAGAGCUGGAAGAUUUAGAAACACAGAACCUCCAAGGUAUCAGACUCUGUGAUUACUCACUGACACCUGAAACCAAAUCUUUCAAUGUACCACGUUCAGAGAAAAUGCUCCUAAGUUUCGGCAAGUCUUCUGAGUUUGCUACCAAAGAAGAGCCAGAAGAGGAGCACAGGACAAAAUGUAUUACGGUGCAGAUGGAGGAAGAAGAACAGAAAGUGUCAGAGGAAUCUGUCAUCCCUCACCGCCAAGUCACCAACCUUUGUGAAUACUCACUUACACCUGAAACCAAGUCUUUCAAUGUAGCACAUUCAGAGGAAAAGCCACAAUGUUCUAGCAAAUGUUCUGACUCUGCUUCUAAAGAAGUAAUCAUGGAGUUAGAAGAACUGCCUUUGGAAGAAUUGGAGGCUGGAGUGACGGUAGUUACCAGGUUGUUUGAUUACUCACUGUUGUCUGAAACAGAAUCAUUCAGUACACCAUAUUCAGGCAAAAAGCCACUGUGUUCCAGCAAACGUUCUGACUGUGUUCCUGAAGAAGAGCUGGAAGAGGAGCAAAGUCUAAAACACACAGCAAUAGCAAUGCACACAGAUUUAGAAACACAGAACCUCAAAGGUACCAGACUGUGUGAUUACUCACUGACACCUGAAACCAAGUCUUUCAAUGUACCACAUUCAGAGGAAAAGCCACAAUGUUCUAGCAAAUGUUCUGACUCUGCUACUAAAGAAAUCAUCAUGCAGUUAGAAGAACUGCCUUUGGAAGAAUUGGAGGCUGGAGUGAUGGUAGUUACCAGGUUGUUUGAUUACUCACUGUUGUCUGAAACAGAAUCAUUCAGUACACCAUAUUCAGGCAAAAAGCCACUGUGUUCCAGCAAACGUUCUGACUGUGUUCCUGAAGAAGAGCUGGAAGAGGAGCAAAGUCUAAAACACACAGUAAUAGCAAUGCACACAGAUUUAGAAACACAGAACCUCCAAGGUACCAGACUGUGUGAUUCCUCACUGACACCUGAAACCAAAUCUUUCAAUGUACCACAUUCAGAGAAAAUGCUACUAACUUCCGGCAAGUCUUCUGAGUUUGCUACCAAAGAAGAGCCAGAAGAGGAGCACAGGACAAAAUGUAUUACGGUGCAGAUGGAGGAAGAAGAACAGAAAGUGUCAGAGGAAUCUUUCAUCACUCACCACCAAGUAACCAACCUUUGCGAAUACUCACUCACACCUGAAACCAAGUCUUUCAAUGUACCACAUUCAGAGGAAAAGCCACAAUGUUCUAGCAAAUGUUCUGACUCUGCUACUAAAGAAGUCAUCAUGGAGUUAGAAGAACAGCCUUUGGAAGAAUUGGAGGCUGGAGUGACGGUAGUUACCAGGUUGUUUGAUUACUCACUGUUGUCUGAAACAGAAUCAUUCAGUACACCAUAUUCAGGCAAGAAGCCACUGUGUUCCAGCAAACGUUCUGACUGUGUUCCUGAAGAGGAGCUGGAAGAGGAGCAAAGUCGAAAACACACAGCAAUAGCAAUGCACACAGAUUUAGAAACACAGAACUUCCACGGUACCAGACUGUGUGAUUCCUCACUGAGACCUGAAACCAAGUCUUUCAAUGUACCACAUUCAGAGGAAAAGCCACAAUGUUCUAGCAUAUGUUCUGACUCUGCUACUAAAGAAAUCAUCAUGCAGUUAGAAGAACUGCCUUUGGAAGAAUUGGAGGCUGGAGUGAUGGUAGUUACCAGGUUGUUUGAUUACUCACUGUUGUCUGAAACAGAAUCAUUCAGUACACCAUAUUCAGGCAAAAAGCCACUGUGUUCCAGCAAACGUUCUGACUGUGUUCCUGAAGAAGAGCUGGAAGAGGAGCAAAGUCGAAAACACACAGCAAUAGCAAUGCACACAGAUUUAGAAACACAGAACCUCCAAGGUACCAGACUGUGUGAUUCCUCACUGACACCUGAAACCAAAUCUUUCAAUGUACCACAUUCAGAGAAAAUGCUACUAAGUUCCGGCAAGUCUUCUGAGUCUGCUACCAAAGAAGAGCCAGAAGAGGAGCACAGGACAAAAUGUAUUACGGUGCAGAUGGAGGAAGAAGAACAGAAAGUGUCAGAGGAAUCUUUCAUCACUCACCACCAAGUAACCAACCUUUGCGAGUACUCACUCACACCUGAAACCAAGUCUUUCAAUGUACCACAUUCAGAGGAAAAGCCACAAUGUUCUAGCAAAUGUUCUGACUCUGCUACUAAAGAAGUCAUCAUGGAGUUAGAAGAACUGCCUUUGGAAGAAUUGGAGGCUGGAGUGACGGUAGUUACCAGGUUGUUUGAUUACUCACUGUUGUCUGAAACCGAAUCAUUCAGUACACCAUAUUCAGGCAAAAAGCCACUGUGUUCCAGCAAACGUUCUGACUGUGUUCCUGAAGAAGAGCUGGAAGAGGAGCAAAGUCUAAAACACACAGUAAUAGCAAUGCACACAGAUUUAGAAACACAGAACCUCCAAGGUACCAGACUGUGUGAUUCCUCACUGACACCUGAAACCAAGUCUUUCAAUGUACCACAUUCAGAGGAAAAGCCACAAUGUUCUAGCAAAUGUUCUGACUCUGCUACUAAAGAAAUCAUCAUGCAGUUAGAAGAACUGCCUUUGGAAGAAUUGGAGGCUGGAGUGAUGGUAGUUACCAGGUUGUUUGAUUACUCACUGUUGUCUGAAACAGAAUCAUUCAGUACACCAUAUUCAGGCAAAAAGCCACUGUGUUCCAGCAAACGUUCUGACUGUGUUCCUGAAGAAGAGCUGGAAGAGGAGCAAAAUCUAAAACACACAGCAAUAGCAAUGCACACAGAUUUAGAAACACAGAACCUCCAAGGUACCAGACUGUGUGAUUCCUCACUGACACCUGAAACCAAAUCUUUCAAUGUACCACAUUCAGAGAAAAUGCUACUAACUUCCGGCAAGUCUUCUGAGUUUGCUACCAAAGAAGAGCCAGAAGAGGAGCACAGGACAAAAUGUAUUACGGUGCAGAUGGAGGUAGAAGAACAGAAAGUGUCAGAGGAAUCUUUCAUCACUCACCACCAAGUAACCAACCUUUGCGAAUACUCACUCACACCUGAAACCAAGUCUUUCAAUGUACCACAUUCAGAGGAAAAGCCACAAUGUUCUAGCAAAUGUUCUGACUCUGCUACUAAAGAAGUCAUCAUGGAGUUAGAAGAACAGCCUUUGGAAGAAUUGGAGGCUGGAGUGACGGUAGUUACCAGGUUGUUUGAUUACUCACUGUUGUCUGAAACAGAAUCAUUCAGUACACCAUAUUCAGGCAAGAAGCCACUGUGUUCCAGCAAACGUUCUGACUGUGUUCCUGAAGAGGAGCUGGAAGAGGAGCAAAGUCGAAAACACACAGCAAUAGCAAUGCACACAGAUUUAGAAACACAGAACUUCCACGGUACCAGACUGUGUGAUUCCUCACUGAGACCUGAAACCAAGUCUUUCAAUGUACCACAUUCAGAGGAAAAGCCACAAUGUUCUAGCAUAUGUUCUGACUCUGCUACUAAAGAAAUCAUCAUGCAGUUAGAAGAACUGCCUUUGGAAGAAUUGGAGGCUGGAGUGAUGGUAGUUACCAGGUUGUUUGAUUACUCACUGUUGUCUGAAACAGAAUCAUUCAGUACACCAUAUUCAGGCAAAAAGCCACUGUGUUCCAGCAAACGUUCUGACUGUGUUCCUGAAGAAGAGCUGGAAGAGGAGCAAAGUCGAAAACACACAGCAAUAGCAAUGCACACAGAUUUAGAAACACAGAACCUCCAAGGUACCAGACUGUGUGAUUCCUCACUGACACCUGAAACCAAAUCUUUCAAUGUACCACAUUCAGAGAAAAUGCUACUAAGUUCCGGCAAGUCUUCUGAGUCUGCUACCAAAGAAGAGCCAGAAGAGGAGCACAGGACAAAAUGUAUUACGGUGCAGAUGGAGGAAGAAGAACAGAAAGUGUCAGAGGAAUCUUUCAUCACUCACCACCAAGUAACCAACCUUUGCGAGUACUCACUCACACCUGAAACCAAGUCUUUCAAUGUACCACAUUCAGAGGAAAAGCCACAAUGUUCUAGCAAAUGUUCUGACUCUGCUACUAAAGAAGUCAUCAUGGAGUUAGAAGAACUGCCUUUGGAAGAAUUGGAGGCUGGAGUGACGGUAGUUACCAGGUUGUUUGAUUACUCACUGUUGUCUGAAACCGAAUCAUUCAGUACACCAUAUUCAGGCAAAAAGCCACUGUGUUCCAGCAAACGUUCUGACUGUGUUCCUGAAGAAGAGCUGGAAGAGGAGCAAAGUCUAAAACACACAGUAAUAGCAAUGCACACAGAUUUAGAAACACAGAACCUCCAAGGUACCAGACUGUGUGAUUCCUCACUGACACCUGAAACCAAGUCUUUCAAUGUACCACAUUCAGAGGAAAAGCCACAAUGUUCUAGCAAAUGUUCUGACUCUGCUACUAAAGAAAUCAUCAUGCAGUUAGAAGAACUGCCUUUGGAAGAAUUGGAGGCUGGAGUGAUGGUAGUUACCAGGUUGUUUGAUUACUCACUGUUGUCUGAAACAGAAUCAUUCAGUACACCAUAUUCAGGCAAAAAGCCACUGUGUUCCAGCAAACGUUCUGACUGUGUUCCUGAAGAAGAGCUGGAAGAGGAGCAAAAUCUAAAACACACAGCAAUAGCAAUGCACACAGAUUUAGAAACACAGAACCUCCAAGGUACCAGACUGUGUGAUUCCUCACUGACACCUGAAACCAAAUCUUUCAAUGUACCACAUUCAGAGAAAAUGCUACUAACUUCCGGCAAGUCUUCUGAGUUUGCUACCAAAGAAGAGCCAGAAGAGGAGCACAGGACAAAAUGUAUUACGGUGCAGAUGGAGGUAGAAGAACAGAAAGUGUCAGAGGAAUCUUUCAUCACUCACCACCAAGUAACCAACCUUUGCGAAUACUCACUCACACCUGAAACCAAGUCUUUCAAUGUACCACAUUCAGAGGAAAAGCCACAAUGUUCUAGCAAAUGUUCUGACUCUGCUACUAAAGAAGUCAUCAUGGAGUUAGAAGAACAGCCUUUGGAAGAAUUGGAGGCUGGAGUGACGGUAGUUACCAGGUUGUUUGAUUACUCACUGUUGUCUGAAACAGAAUCAUUCAGUACACCAUAUUCAGGCAAGAAGCCACUGUGUUCCAGCAAACGUUCUGACUGUGUUCCUGAAGAGGAGCUGGAAGAGGAGCAAAGUCGAAAACACACAGCAAUAGCAAUGCACACAGAUUUAGAAACACAGAACUUCCACGGUACCAGACUGUGUGAUUCCUCACUGAGACCUGAAACCAAGUCUUUCAAUGUACCACAUUCAGAGGAAAAGCCACAAUGUUCUAGCAUAUGUUCUGACUCUGCUACUAAAGAAAUCAUCAUGCAGUUAGAAGAACUGCCUUUGGAAGAAUUGGAGGCUGGAGUGAUGGUAGUUACCAGGUUGUUUGAUUACUCACUGUUGUCUGAAACAGAAUCAUUCAGUACACCAUAUUCAGGCAAAAAGCCACUGUGUUCCAGCAAACGUUCUGACUGUGUUCCUGAAGAAGAGCUGGAAGAGGAGCAAAGUCGAAAACACACAGCAAUAGCAAUGCACACAGAUUUAGAAACACAGAACCUCCAAGGUACCAGACUGUGUGAUUCCUCACUGACACCUGAAACCAAAUCUUUCAAUGUACCACAUUCAGAGAAAAUGCUACUAAGUUCCGGCAAGUCUUCUGAGUCUGCUACCAAAGAAGAGCCAGAAGAGGAGCACAGGACAAAAUGUAUUACGGUGCAGAUGGAGGAAGAAGAACAGAAAGUGUCAGAGGAAUCUUUCAUCACUCACCACCAAGUAACCAACCUUUGCGAGUACUCACUCACACCUGAAACCAAGUCUUUCAAUGUACCACAUUCAGAGGAAAAGCCACAAUGUUCUAGCAAAUGUUCUGACUCUGCUACUAAAGAAGUCAUCAUGGAGUUAGAAGAACUGCCUUUGGAAGAAUUGGAGGCUGGAGUGACGGUAGUUACCAGGUUGUUUGAUUACUCACUGUUGUCUGAAACCGAAUCAUUCAGUACACCAUAUUCAGGCAAAAAGCCACUGUGUUCCAGCAAACGUUCUGACUGUGUUCCUGAAGAAGAGCUGGAAGAGGAGCAAAGUCUAAAACACACAGUAAUAGCAAUGCACACAGAUUUAGAAACACAGAACCUCCAAGGUACCAGACUGUGUGAUUCCUCACUGACACCUGAAACCAAGUCUUUCAAUGUACCACAUUCAGAGGAAAAGCCACAAUGUUCUAGCAAAUGUUCUGACUCUGCUACUAAAGAAAUCAUCAUGCAGUUAGAAGAACUGCCUUUGGAAGAAUUGGAGGCUGGAGUGAUGGUAGUUACCAGGUUGUUUGAUUACUCACUGUUGUCUGAAACAGAAUCAUUCAGUACACCAUAUUCAGGCAAAAAGCCACUGUGUUCCAGCAAACGUUCUGACUGUGUUCCUGAAGAAGAGCUGGAAGAGGAGCAAAAUCUAAAACACACAGCAAUAGCAAUGCACACAGAUUUAGAAACACAGAACCUCCAAGGUACCAGACUGUGUGAUUCCUCACUGACACCUGAAACCAAAUCUUUCAAUGUACCACAUUCAGAGAAAAUGCUACUAACUUCCGGCAAGUCUUCUGAGUUUGCUACCAAAGAAGAGCCAGAAGAGGAGCACAGGACAAAAUGUAUUACGGUGCAGAUGGAGGUAGAAGAACAGAAAGUGUCAGAGGAAUCUUUCAUCACUCACCACCAAGUAACCAACCUUUGCGAAUACUCACUCACACCUGAAACCAAGUCUUUCAAUGUACCACAUUCAGAGGAAAAGCCACAAUGUUCUAGCAAAUGUUCUGACUCUGCUACUAAAGAAGUCAUCAUGGAGAACCUCCACGGUACCAGACUGUGUGAUUCCUCACUGACACCUGAAACCAAAUCUUUCAAUGUACCACAUUCAGAGAAAAGACUACUCAAUUCCAACAAGUCUUUUGACUCUGCAUGUAAAGCAGACCUGGAAGAUGAGCACAGGACAAAGGAUACAGCAAUGCAGAUGGAGUUAGAAGAACAUCUGUUGGAGGAAAAUAAAGGCCUGUGUGAUUACUCAUUGACGCCUGAAGCCCUCAAAGAAGAAGAGCAGGGGGAUGAAAACAGAUGGACAUUUUGCAAUAUCAUGCCUGUAUGUGACUACUCUCUCACACCUGGAUCCUUCUCAUCUGUUCUUCUAGCACACUCCAAAACAACUUCCAAGUUUCGGAAUGGAAACAAAGACAACAUAAGGCCUAUUUUUGCAUUCUCCAAAAACAAUACAUUUUUGGCUGUAAGUGAAGAUUUUGACAAAAGGGCAUUUCAGAGGAUGUUUGGUGAAACAAAACCUGACAAAACAACUUCUCAUUUUGGUGAUAUGGAGUAUACCUGUACUUCUCCUGAUACCUCAGUCUUAAGAGUUGGAGUUGAUAAAGUGGAUUUUUGUCCUGCAACAGAAUCUCUCUCCAUUAUACCCCUGAUUAGGCAAAACCUUAAAGUCACUUCAACCCCUAACUCACUGAGGCACGUACGGCUUCCACCAAUCAUGGCUUCCCCAAUACGAGUUCCUUUUCUCACAAACAAUGACAAGAGUCAACGGUCCAUUGGAGACUCCAACCUUCCAUGCUUCCUUAUAGAUUGUUACCAAAAAGGAGAUCCUCACCCGAUGAGUGUUGCCUCUGCAGAAACAGAGGGAAUGGCUGUGGGCAAUCCACUGGAACGCUACAACCAUGACCAAAUUCGCACCUCAGGUAGUGGCAAUGCUCUCCAGAUGAAGCUGCAGGAAUCUGAAUUAUUUCUGCUUCAUUAUACCACCCGAUCACGGACACAUGCUUCACAGGAAGACUCAUAUGUUGAAAGGAGCUCACAACAAAGUGAGAUGGAUCACAUGUUACAUUCAAGCACACACUUUUCAAGUGGUUGGGAGGAUGAACAGAGCAUUUUGUUCGAAAAUGACUCGUUUGAGCCCACAGACAAACAGGAAAAUGUGGAUGAUGAUUCUGAUGCCUCAAAGAUGACAAAUAGCAAUCCUCAAGAAAUAUCAGAAUACCCAGGAGCUCUAGAAACAGCAGAACCAAACCAGUCUGAGUUUCAAUCAUCUGGCCACAGCCAAGCAUAUAGACAUGUUAUCUCAUCUUCUUUGAUGACAAUGUCUAGUGUUACGCAUACUCCUGGGACAGAAUGCAAACGCUUGCUGCGCAAAUUAAAAGAAUUGUAAUUGCAUUUAAACCUGUAACUAUGCAAUUGAGUUAAGAGUAUACAUUUUGCCUGUGUACAGUCUCACAGUGAUGUCACUUUCAUCAGAGGAAGUAUGAAAAAACUGUUGACCAUGAAUGAACACAUGUGAAUGGUUUUCCAACAGUCUUGAAGGAGUUCCCAGAGGUGUUUAGCACUUGUUGGCCCCUUUGCCUUCACUCUGCGGUCCAGCUCACCCCAAACCAUCUUGAUUGGGUUCAGGUCCAGUGACUGUGGAGGCCAGGUCUCCACUUUUUGUUAAGUACAUAACUCCACAUGUGUUCAUUCAUAGUUUUGAUGCCUUCAGGUAGAAUCUACCAAUGUAAAUGGUCAUGUAAAUAAAGAAAACACAUUGAUUGUGUCCAAACUUUUGGCCUGAACUGUAUGUAUCUGAAUGUUGUCUGAAUUCAUUGUCAUAUACUGUUGCUGUGUUCUAUGUUUGCUUGUGUAUUUUAAAUUUUUCUUUCACUAAUAAUUUUUCAUAGUUCCAUGUUUUUUUAAUAAUAUGUCG